rnacentral:rRNA from 1 species
CACUCCUGCGGGAGGCAGCAGUGGGGAAUUUUGGACAAUGGGCGAAAGCCUGAUCCAGCAAUGCCGCGUGAGUGAAGAAGGCCUUCGGGUUGUAAAGCUCUUUUGUCAGGGAAGAAACGGUGAGAGCUAAUAUCUCUUGCUAAUGACGGUACCUGAAGAAUAAGCACCGGCUAACUACGUGCCAGCAGCCGCGGUAAUACGUAGGGUGCAAGCGUUAAUCGGAAUUACUGGGCGUAAAGCGUGCGCAGGCGGUUUUGUAAGUCUGAUGUGAAAUCCCCGGGCUCAACCUGGGAAUUGCAUUGGAGACUGCAAGGCUAGAAUCUGGCAGAGGGGGGUAGAAUUCCACGUGUAGCAGUGAAAUGCGUAGAUAUGUGGAGGAACACCGAUGGCGAAGGCAGCCCCCUGGGUCAAGAUUGACGCUCAUGCACGAAAGCGUGGGGAGCAAACAGGAUUAGAUACCCCUGUAGUCCCAU